UCCCUGUUGCCAGGGCAGUCUGAUUAGAAAAAUUCAACUAAUCACAAGGGUUGCGCUCGUUAAUGGACUUAACCAAACAUCUCACGACACGAGCUGACGACGGCCAUGCAACACCUGUCACUUGGCUCAAUAAAGCACUUUUUCCUUUCGGAAAAAUUCCAAGGAUGUCAAACCUGGGUAAGGUUCUUCGCUUACCAUCGAAUUAAACAACACGCUCCACCGCUUGUGCGGGUCCCCGUCAAUUCCUUUAUGUUUUAGUCUUGCGACCGUACUCCACAGGCGGGAUGCUUAACGCGUUAGCUUCGCUACUACCGGGGUCGAUACCGAUAACAGCUAGCAUCCAUCGUUUACAGCGUGGACUA
rnacentral:misc_RNA from 1 species